UGGGGAAUCUUGCACAAUGGGGGAAACCCUGAUGCAGCGACGCCGCGUGAGCGAUGAAGGUUUUCGAAUCGUAAAGCUCUGUCCUAUGGGAAGAUAAUGACGGUACCAUGGGAGGAAGCCCCGGCUAACUACGUGCCAGCAGCCGCGGUAAUACGUAGGGGGCGAGCGUUGUCCGGAAUUACUGGGCGUAAAGGGUUCGCAGGCGGCAUGGCAAGUCCGAUGUAAAAGGCUAAGGCUCAACCUUCGUAAGCAUCGGAAACUGUCAAGCUUGAGUGAAGGAGAGGCAAGUGGAAUUCCUAGUGUAGCGGUGGAAUGCGUAGAUAUUAGGAGGAAUACCGGUGGCGAAGGCGACUUGCUGGACUUCAACUGACGCUGAGGAACGAAAGCGUGGGUAGCAAACAGG
rnacentral:rRNA from 1 species